rnacentral:rRNA from 1 species
CCCUUAGAUGUUCUGGGCCGCACGCGCGCUACACUGACGAAUGCAACGAGCUUAUAACCUUGGCCGAAAGGUCUGGGUAAUCUCCAAAUUUCGUCGUGAUGGGGAUAGAUUAUUGCAAUUAUUAAUCUUCAACGAGGAAUGCCUAGUAAGCGCAAGUCAUCAGCUUGCGUUGAUUACGUCCCUGCCCUUUGUACACACCGCCCGUCGCUCCUACCGAUUGAAUGGUCCGGUGAAGCGCUCGGACCGCGGCCUCUUGACGGUUUUCCAUCGAUUGGCUGUGGGAAGUUCGUUAAACCUUAUCAUUUAGAGGAAGGAGAAGUCGUAACA